CGAAGGAUGCAGCGUUAUCCGGAUUCAUUGGGUUUAAAGGGUGCGUAGGCGGACUGAUAAGUCAGUGGUGAAAUCUCUUUGCUUAACAAAGAAACUGCCAUUGAUACUGUCGGUCUAGAGUAUAGAUGACGUUGGCGGAAUAUGACAUGUAGUGGUGAAAUACUUAGAUAUGUCAUAGAACACCGAUUGCGAAGGCAGCUAACGAAACUAUAACUGACGCUGAGGCACGAAAGUGCGGGGAUCAAACAGGAUUAGAUACCCUGGUAGUCCGCACCGUAAACGAUGAUUACUCGUUGUUGGCGAUAUGACAGUCAGCGACCAAGCGAAAGCGAUAAGUAAUCCACCUGGGGAGUACGCCGGCAACGGUG
rnacentral:rRNA from 1 species